GUAGGUGGCAAGCGUUGUCCGGAAUUAUUGGGGCGUAAAGCGCGCGCAGGCGGUUCGUUUAAGUCUGAUGUGAAAGCCCAUGGGCUCAACCGUGGAGGGUCAUUGGAAACUGGAGAGCUUGAGUACAGAAGAGGAAAGCGGAAUUCCACGUGUAGCGGUGAAAUGCGUAGAGAUGUGGAGGAACACCAGUGGCGAAGGCGGCUUUCUGGUCUGUAACUGACGCUGAGGCGCGAAAGCGUGGGGAGCAAACAGGAUUAGAUACCCUGGUAGUCCACGCCGUAAACGAUGAGUGCUAAGUGUUAGGGGGUUUCCGCCCCUUAGUGCUGCAGCUAACGCAUUAAGCACUCCGCCUGGGGAGUACGGCCGCAAAGGCUG
rnacentral:rRNA from 1 species